rnacentral:rRNA from 1 species
GAUGUACGCUGGCGGCGUGCCUAACACAUGCAAGUCGAACGGGAAGUAGCAGUACUUUUAGUGUUUACUGGGGGAGUAACGCGUUGUUACCUGUGUCUAAGCGGCGGAUUACUGACGGAAAAUUCCGCUAAUACCCGAUGUGUACGGCAACGUGUCAACGUGAGAACAACUAUGGGAGGGGCCUGCCUCCUAUCCGCUAGUUGUUAAGGUAACGGCUUACCAAGGCGAUGACGGGUAGGGGACCUGAGAGGGUGGCCCCCCACAAUGGAGCUGGAACACGGUCCAUACACCUACGGAUGGGAGGAGAAGGGAAUAUAGGUAAUGGGCGCAAGCCUGAACCAGCAACGCGGCGUGAGGGAUGACGGCCGGCGGGUAGUAAAGCACUUUUGACAGGGACGAGGAAGGACGGUACCGGUCGAAUAAGCAUCGGCUAACUACGUG